rnacentral:rRNA from 1 species
UUUAUUGGAGAGUUUGAUCCUGGCUCAGGAUGAACGCUGGCGGCGUGCCUAAUACAUGCAAGUCGAGCGAAUGGAUUAAGAGCUUGCUCUUAUGAAGUUAGCGGCGGACGGGUGAGUAACACGUGGGUAACCUGCCCAUAAGACUGGGAUAACUCCGGGAAACCGGGGCUAAUACCGGAUAACAUUUUGAACCGCAUGGUUCGAAAUUGAAAGGCGGCUUCGGCUGUCACUUAUGGAUGGACCCGCGUCGCAUUAGCUAGUUGGUGAGGUAAC